CUGAAGCUAAAUAAUAUUUGAAACGUAUUGGAAUACGCAAACUCCAAAAGAGAAUAUACUGUUUCUAUGAUUCAACAUGCUAGUUAUUUUAUUGGGGUCACUCUUGAUGGUAAUAGCUCACUGUGAGUUUACUGGUUAUAUUUCCCGAUGCCCAACAAGAUUCGAAAGACGAAUAUUUGGGAGUCUUACAAACUGUCUAACUUCUAACUUUUAUCAUUGUAUCAGAGAUGACAGAGACAGACUAGUUGAAACAUGCAAUAAACCUCAACAGAUACCUCCAGGAAACUAUCCGAAGUAUUUACACAAAUCAGAUGACAUAUACUAUUUCAGCUGCCCAAACCAUUUAUAUCAGCCAUUUGCUGUAUGGUCAAAUGACAUUUCUGACUGUAUGUUUGUCAAAUCAUCAUGUAAUAGUAUGGGCCAAGUGCUAUGUGAUAAUGGGACUGAAACAGAGGAUGCUACUUGCAGAUGUGACUAUACAAAAGGAUAUGUAGUACAUGGUCAAAACCGAUGUUGUUCUCCAUCUUCAUCCGCAGAGUGUAACUGUCAAUAU